AUUUGGAGCUUGCUCCAUAUUCUCAGCGGCGGACGGGUGAGUAACACGUGGGCAACCUGCCCUGCAGAUCGGGAUAACUCCGGGAAACCGGUGCUAAUACCGAAUAGUUUGCGGCCUCUCCUGAGGCUGCACGGAAAGACGGUUUCGGCUGUCACUGCAGGAUGGGCCCGCGGCGCAUUAGCUAGUUGGUGGGGUAAUGGCCCACCAAGGCGACGAUGCGUAGCCGACCUGAGAGGGUGAUCGGCCACACUGGGACUGAGACACGGCCCAGACUCCUACGGGAGGCAGCAGUAGGGAAUCUUCCGCAAUGGACGAAAGUCUGACGGAGCAACGCCGCGUGAGUGACGAAGGUUUUCGGAUCGUAAAACUCUGUUGUGAGGGAAGAACAAGUACCAAUUAACUACUGGUACCUUGACGGUACCUCACCAGAAAGCCACGGCUAACUACGUGCCAGCAGCCGCGGUAAUACGUAGGUGGCAAGCGUUGUCCGGAAUUAUUGGGCGUAAAGCGCGCGCAGGCGGUCCCUUAAGUCUGAUGUGAAAGC
rnacentral:rRNA from 2 species